rnacentral:rRNA from 1 species
UUCGGUUCCGGAGAGGGAGCCUGAGAAACGGCUACCACAUCUAAGGAAGGCAGCAGGCGCGCAAAUUACCCAAUGAAAACAGUUUUGAGGUAGUGACGAGAAAUAACAAUACAGAGCAUUUAAAUGUUUUGUAAUUGGAAUGGUGGGAAUCUAAACCCCUUUCAGAGUAACAAUUGGAGGGAAAGUCUGGUGCCAGCAGCCGCGGUAAUUCCAGCUCCAAUAGCGUAUAUUUGAGUUGUUGCAGUUAAAAAGCUCGUAGUUGGAUUUCUGUCUUGGC